rnacentral:rRNA from 1 species
AGCAGUAGCCGCGGGAAUACGUAGGGUGCGAGCGUUAAUCGGAAUUACUGGGCGUAAAGCGGGCGCAGACGGUUACUUAAGCAGGAUGUGAAAUCCCCGGGCUCAACCUGGGAACCGCGUUCUGAACUGGGUGACUAGAGUGUGCCAGAGGGAGGUAGAAUUCCACGUGUAGCAGUGAAAUGCGUAGAGAUGUGGAGGAAUACCGAUGGCGAAGGCAGCCUCCUGGGAUAACACUGACGUUCAUGCCCGAAAGCGUGGGUAGCAAACAGGAUUAGAUACCCCUGUAGUCCCUGUCUCUUAUAC